rnacentral:rRNA from 1 species
GACGAACGCUGGCGGCGUGCCUAAUACAUGCAAGUAGAACGCAGUUGCGAACGGGUGAGUAACGCGUAGGUAACUGCCUCAUAGCGGGGGCUAACUCUUGGAAACGCUAGCUAAUACCGCAUACUGUGAGAUGGACCUGCGUUGUAUUAGCUAGUUGGUUAGGUAAAGGCUCACCAAGGCGACGAUACAUAGCCGACCUGAGAGGGUGAUCGGGGAAAUGGGAACGGAGACACGGCCAAGAGGCCUACGGGAGGCAGCAGUAGGGAAGCUUCGGAAAUGGACGGAAGUCUGACCGGGCAACGCGGCGUGAGUGAAGAAGGUUUUAGGAUCGUAUAGCUCUGUUGUUAGAGAAGCGGUAACGAACCGGAAAGGGGCGGCUAACUACGUGACAGGAGCCGCGGUAAUUC